rnacentral:rRNA from 1 species
GAUCCUGGCUAGGAUGAACGCUAGCGACAGGCCUAACACAUGCAAGUCGAGGGGCAGCGCGGGAAGCUUGCUUUCCUGGCGGCGACCGGCGCACGGGUGCGUAACAGGUGUGCAAUCUGUCCAUAGUCGGGGAAUAGCCCAGCGAAAGUUGGAUUAAUGCUCCAUGUGAAUCGAGACCGCAUGAUCUUGAUUUGAAACGUAAGGACUAUGGGUGAGCACGCUUCUGAUUAGAUAGUUGGUGAGGUAACGGCUCACCAAGUCGACGAUCAGUAGGGGUUCUGAGAGGAAGGUCCCCCACAUUGGAACUGAGACACGGUCCAAACUCCUACGGGAGGCAGCAGUGAGGAAUAUUGGUCAAUGGGCGAGAGCCUGAACCAGCCAAGUCGCGUGAAGGAUGAAGGUUCUAUGGAUUGUAAACUUCUUUUGUCCGGGGGUAAAAAAGGCCACGUGUGGCUUCUUGCAAGUAUCGGACGAAUAAGCAUCGGCUAACUCCGUGCCAGCCGCUGC